GCUGGGCGCGGUGGUGCACACCUGUAAUCCCAGGGGCUCCAGGAGGCUGAGGCAGGAGGAUCAAAGCCAGCCUCGGCCAAAAUGAAGCGCUAAGCAACUCAGUGAGACCCUGUCUCUA
rnacentral:sRNA from 1 species